AUAAUGGGUCAGCGACUUAUAUUCUGUAGCAAGGUUAACCGAAUAGGGGAGCCGAAGGGAAACCGAGUCUUAACUGGGCGUUAAGUUGCAGGGUAUAGACCCGAAACCCGGUGAUCUAGCCAUGGGCAGGUUGAAGGUUGGGUAACACUAACUGGAGGACCGAACCGACUAAUGUUGAAAAAUUAGCGGAUGACUUGUGGCUGGGGGUGAAAGGCCAAUCAAACCGGGAGAUAGCUGGUUCUCCCCGAAAGCUAUUUAGGUAGCGCCUCGUGAAUUCAUCUCCGGGGGUAGAGCACUGUUUCGGCAAGGGGGUCAUCCCGACUUACCAACCCGAUGCAAACUGCGAAUACCGGAGAAUGUUAUCACGGGAGACACACGGCGGGUGCUAACGUCCGUCGUGAAGAGGGAAACAACCCAGACCGCCAGCUAAGGUCCCAAAGUCAUGGUUAAGUGGGAAACGAUGUGGGAAGGCCCAGACAGCCAGGAUGUUGGCUUAGAAGCAGCCAUCAUUUAAAGAAAGCGUAAUAGCUCACUGGUCGAGUCGGCCUGCGCGGAAGAUGUAACGGGGCUAAACCAUGCACCGAAGCUGCGGCAGCGACGCUUAUGCGUUGUUGGGUAGGGGAGCGUUCUGUAAGCCUGCGAAGGUGUGCUGUGAGGCAUGCUGGAGGUAUCAGAAGUGCGAAUGCUGACAUAAGUAACGAUAAAGCGGGUGAAAAGCCCGCUCGCCGGAAGACCAAGGGUUCCUGUCCAACGUUAAUCGGGGCAGGGUGAGUCGACCCCUAAGGCGAGGCCGAAAGGCGUAGUCGAUGGGAAACAGGUUAAUAUUCCUGUACUUGGUGUUACUGCGAAGGGGGGACGGAGAAGGCUAUGUUGGCCGGGCGACGGUUGUCCCGGUUUAAGCGUGUAGGCUGGUUUUCCAGGCAAAUCCGGAAAAUCAAGGCUGAGGCGUGAUGACGAGGCACUACGGUGCUGAAGCAACAAAUGCCCUGCUUCCAGGAAAAGCCUCUAAGCAUCAGGUAACAUCAAAUCGUACCCCAAACCGACACAGGUGGUCAGGUAGAGAAUAC
rnacentral:rRNA from 1 species